rnacentral:rRNA from 1 species
AGUGAACGCUGGCGGUAGGCCUAACACAUGCAAGUCGAACGGCAGCACAGUAAGAGCUUGCUCUUACGGGUGGCGAGUGGCGGACGGGUGAGGAAUACAUCGGAAUCUACUUUUUCGUGGGGGAUAACGUAGGGAAACUUACGCUAAUACCGCAUACGACCUACGGGUGAAAGCAGGGGAUCUUCGGACCUUGCGCGAUUGAAUGAGCCGAUGUCGGAUUAGCUAGUUGGCGGGGAAAAGGCCCACCAAGGCGACGAUCCGUAGCUGGUCUGAGAGGAUGAUCAGCCACACUGGAACUGAGACACGGUCCAGACUCCUACGGGAGGCAGCAGUGGGGAAUAUUGGACAAUGGGCGCAAGCCUGAUCCAGCCAUACCGCGUGGGUGAAGAAGGCCUUCGGGUUGUAAAGCCCUUUUGUUGGGAAAGAAAAGCAGCAGGUUAAUACCCCGCUGUUCUGACGGUACCCAAAGAAUAAGCACCGGCUAACUUCGUG